rnacentral:lncRNA from 1 species
UUGUACCCCACAGGAGGUGCCAUCUGAAGGAAUUUUGUUCUUCACUUGCAGGCCCCUGACAGCCAAGAAGAGCUGAGGAACAAACUGCAGUAAAGGAGAGUGAGGAGAGAAAAAAAGGACUGAGCCUUAAAAAGGGUUGGCAGAGAGCCAAGGAGCCCUCCCUGUCCAGAGCCUGGAUAACCCCCUGACAUUUCCUGUUCGUCCUCUUUGCCCCGCUCUCCACAUGGACAUCACAGAAUAAAGAGAGCUGCGCCAACAUACAUCGGGGAUUUCGAUGGACAUGUAAUUAGAGGUGAAUGGAGUCUUCAGAGGUACGGCAACCACGAAAGCCAGCGGCAAAGUCAAAGUGUUUGUCUAAUUUCACAAUCGAAAUGAAACCAUGUGAAUGAAACCAUGUGGUCAGCUGCA